CACUUGAUUACUGCUCAUAUUUCCUGACUGUUUUUCAUUCUAUUCUUGCUUGUUUCUAUUUUUUCUUUAGCUAUUUGAGCACUUUCAACUAUCUUUUACAGUUUAUUAGUUUUACUUAUAUUGUAAAUUCCCCUCUUUAUACAAUUGACUGAUUCUCUCUCAUUGUGGGUUGUUGCACAGUAUAUUUGUAACUUUUUACUGUGGUCUCAUCUUCAGAAGAUUUUCUUCUAUUGUUAUGUGUUUGUGCAUGCAUGUGUAUACACUUUCUACCCAGGAUUACUGAAGGAGAGUUUUUGAUUUGCCUCAGUUCAGGGCCCAAAGUCUUCAUUAGUUCUUGAUCACUGUUUAUGUUGACUUUUUAUCUAGUGACUAUGUAUAGAAUGAUCUAAAAAUUUAUUAACCAAGCAGUACACUUCUGAAAGUAAACAUGGCUUUAUAGCAGACAUAAACCAAGAUUGGCUUACAUCAGCUAGGACAUAUAAUUUUAUUCAUGCACCAUGAAAACAAUGGGAGUAUGAAUAUUAUAACCAUUUGUGAAACAUGCAUAGUAUAGUGAUUUUUGUUCCCUUAGGUGAUAAACGCUGGGACAAUGGAAAGUUCCCAUGAAGGUAUCUUCAGCCACUGAGAAGUUUUCAAAUCCAGUUACAUGGACUAGACAAGUUCUAGUCCAUUGACAAGUAUCUUUUGGUUUCAUGCAGGUCCAUGGAAUCUGAGAAGAAAACUACCUUCCUUGACAAAUGUAUACUAUCAAUUGGAUCACUUGAGGUCAUCUCUGUAUCUGGAAUGGUGUCAUACAAGAAGGGUCUUGGCGGUGGUCUGACCUGCCAUGGACUGUCCAUCUGCCCGGACUACAGCGAGGUGAAGUGACUGACAGAUUCAGAAUUCGAUGAGGGAGAAGAGUCAGGCCUGAGACCAGUGCGAAGGACAGGACCAGUUCUUUUGGCACUCAGCUGAAGUGAUGAACAGGAGACAAUUUUUCCAAGCUUCCAAGGAGCCAAGCUGAAGAAAGAGUGAAACAAUGGAGGCGCCUUUCUUUCUUGAUCUUGGGAGAAGGAAUGCUCUCUGACAUUGGGAACUUCAGCCUGUUCCAACCUGUUUGCCUCCCAGAUGCACCUUCAAGACAAACUAAUUAUCUUGGGGAAUUAGAUAACAGCCUGAUACUUUCAUAUUCCUGUUUCCAAAUUUUGAUCAAUGUGCAAAAUAUAUUUUUGCCACCACUUAUAUAAAUCUUAAUAUUAUGGCCUAAUGCAGACAUGAAAGUGUAAUGGAUUCCUGAAUACGACUGCUUAUAUUCAAUCCUCACCACCAUUACUUAGUGCUUGUGCCUUGGACAAAUUACCUAACCACACUAGAACUUGUUAUUCUUAAUUAUACUAUGAAAUUAAUGAUAGUAUCCUCAUAAGGGUGGUGGUGAGGAUUCAAUAAGAUGAUUCAUACAAAUAAUUUAGUAAAGGGUCAGGCAGAUGGUAAACACUUAAUACAUGUUAGAAAUGAUGGCAAAGAGAAGGAGAGUGGUGAUGAUGAUGAAAGUGAUCAUAAUAUUUGACUACUGAGUUGAGCAAAUUCUUAGUGUAGGGCUAUGUACCUCUUACUAGAGGUAUGAUACUUUGCACAGCGUAAGUCUAACAACAAAUAUAUAACAUUCAUGAACUCACAUUUGAACAAGAGUUGGAUGUGUUUAUGGACUUUAUAAUUCUUUAUAUAAUGAAUAAUGUAUAGCAAUUUUAUAUACUUUAUAUAGAUACAGCAGUAGUUUGGGAUUGGAACUGUUGCUGAUAUACUUACUGAUUAACUUACUGCUGAUUUGGGAAUUUUAAGACUUGAAGGACACCAUCAAUGGUUCUUAUAUACAGAAAGGCUGAAAAAAUGUGAAAUUACAUUUAGUAAAGGAAUAGGAAAGUGAGAAAUGUCAUUUAUUAAAAUUCUACUAUGUGCAAGGUACUGGACUUGGACAAUCUCAUGUUUCAAAUCACCUAAUCUUCACAGUCUACUAUUGUCUGUGAGGCAAAUAUGUUUAUUAACCUCACAUGGAUGAGAAAAUUAGACUGCAGAUAAAGGUUUCAAACCUUCUGUAAUAUCAUGUAUAUAUUAAGGAUAUGGAGAAAAGAUUCAACAUCAGAUAUCCACUGCAAAGGCAGAACUGAUCUCCUUCAUUCCCCUACUUGAAUUAUUGCCUUCACCUAAAGAAGACAGAAACAUGAAGAGUUAAUAGCAGGUAGCUUCUCUUUAAGAAAGCUGCUUGUAAGUGACUUGAUAAUUUCCCAGUGAAAAUGACAUUUAUCUUGGAAAAACGGGGUCCAAACCCAGUGACAUUUUAAAGUUUGUAAUUGGGUUCAAAUGUGCGCAUGUACAAAACUAUGCCACCACAGAAAAAGCUGUCUUCUAAGGGUGCCAAGGAAGCGAUUGAUUAAAUUUGAGAUCCAUGCUUGACCUAGGCAAUUUGCCUAGUCUUUUGUAGUCACAGUGUUCCCAUUUACAAAAUAAGGGCUAUUUAAUUUAACAAAUGAUUAUUAGGCUUGAAAUAAGUAAUAGAGUAGAAAGUGCUGAUAAACUCUUAAACAUUAUACAAAUGACAGCUAUUAUGAUCAUAUCAGCUCAAGACAGAACUAGAAGCUAAAAAAUUCUUAUGAAGAUUAAGACCUACUACAUUUAUCAAUCCAGUGAAUGCUAAAAUACCAUCUUUUUAUUGUAAACAUUGCUCAG
rnacentral:lncRNA from 1 species